GGAAGAGUGGGACGUUAUGGAACCUUCUCAGCUUAUUCAGAGAGGCUUCUUCUUCCUAUUUAGUCUCCCUCUGGCUUUCCCUGCUGGGAUCUGGGUGGUAGAAGCAGCAGGGGGAUCAACGAACAGGCUGAGCGCCAAGAAGCCUGAAGAUUCCAGAAUCUAGCGGGAAAAGCAUUCAGAGUCAGAAUGAGGAGCCCCAGAGGCAGAGCUGCCCAAGGCUUUGGGAGCCCACCUCUUGCAUCACUGUGCCCUGGAUGUGAGACGUGGAAUCAAGGAGAUUAUUUUGGAGCUUUAAGACGUAAUGGCACCCUGCUGGGUUUCAGACUUGAGUGGAGCCUGCAGCCUUUCUUUCGGCCGGUUUCUCCCUUUUGGAACGGGAGUAUUUACCCAAUGCCUGUACCCCCAUGGCGUGCCCGUGUCCCCUUCCUCCACCACAAGAUUGUAAGUUUUCUGGAGCCUCCCCAGAAGCUGAGAAGAAGCUGCUAUGCUUCCUGUUCAGCCUGCAGAACCGCCACUUCCAGCAUCGAUGGUGUCAGGUCAGGUCCUCUGGGUAGAAGAAAUGGAGUCAGUUAGGAGUGCUGGAGACUGAGUAAGAGGUGGCAGCUGAGGCUUACUACCCCAGGAAAGGGAUGCCACCAGAGAAGGCAGACAACCAAGAUGGCGACUCUCAAUUUUUGAGCUCCUAAUUUUCUCAUGUCAGACAUAAGAAAAAAAAAUAUUUUUUAAAGAAAAAGCUUUAGGUUGCAAAAAUCUAGGCCUUUCAACUUUAAAAUCCUAUUCUUGCAAGCCUUGGAGAAUAAAGCUUAUGCAUAAACAGUAGAUUUGGAAACAGAA
rnacentral:lncRNA from 10 species